rnacentral:rRNA from 1 species
GAUGAACGCUGGCGGCGUGCCUAAUACAUGCAAGUCGAGCGAACGGACGAGAAGCUUGCUUCUCUGAUGUUAGCGGCGGACGGGUGAGUAACACGUGUAUAACCUACCUAUAAGACUGGGAUAACUUCGGGAAACCGGAGCUAAUACCGGAUAAUAUUUUGAACCGCAUGGUUCAAAAGUGAAAGACGGUCUUUCUGUCACUUAUAGAUGGAUCCGCGCUGCAUUAGCUAGUUGGUAAGGUAACGGCUUACCAAGGCAACGAUGCAUAGCCGACCUGAGAGGGUGAUCGGCCACACUGGAACUGAGACACGGUCCAGACUCCUACGGGAGGCAGCAGUAGGGAAUCUUCCGCAAUGGGCGAAAGCCUGACGGAGCAACGCCGCGUGAGUGAUGAAGGUCUUCGGAUCGUAAAACUCUGUUAUUAGGGAAGAACAUAUGUGUAAGUAACUGUGCACAUCUUGACGGUACCUAAUCAGAAAGCCACGGCUAACUACGUG